CGUGAGAUGUUGGGUUAAGUCCCGCAACGAGCGCAACCCUUAUUGUUAGUUGCCAUCAUUUAGUUGGGCACUCUAGCGAGACUGCCGGUGACAAACCGGAGGAAGGUGGGGAUGACGUCAAAUCAUCAUGCCCCUUAUGACCUGGGCUACACACGUGCUACAAUGGGAAGUACAACGAGUCGCUAGACCGCGAGGUCAUGCAAAUCUCUUAAAGCUUCUCUCAGUUCGGAUUGCAGGCUGCAACUCGCCUGCAUGAAGUC
rnacentral:rRNA from 1 species